AGGAUGAACGCUGGCGGCGUGCUUAACACAUGCAAGUCGAACGGUGAAGCCAAGCUUGCUUGGUGGAUCAGUGGCGAACGGGUGAGUAACACGUGAGCAAUCUGCCCUUGACUCUGGGAUAAGCGCUGGAAACGGCGUCUAAUACUGGAUAUGAGCUGCGGCCGCAUGGUCGGCAGUUGGAAAGAUUUUUCGGUCAAGGAUGAGCUCGCGGCCUAUCAGCUUGUUGGUGAGGUAAUGGCUCACCAAGGCGUCGACGGGUAGCCGGCCUGAGAGGGUGACCGGCCACACUGGGACUGAGACACGGCCCAGACUCCUACGGGAGGCAGCAGUGGGGAAUAUUGCACAAUGGGCGGAAGCCUGAUGCAGCAACGCCGCGUGAGGGAUGACGGCCUUCGGGUUGUAAACCUCUUUUAGCAGGGAAGAAGCGUGAGUGACGGUACCUGCAGAAAAAGCACCGGCUAACUACGUGCCAGCAGCCGCGGUAAUACGUAGGGUGCAAGCGUUAUCCGGAAUUAUUGGGCGUAAAGAGCUCGUAGGCGGUUUGUCGCGUCUGCUGUGAAAUCCCGAGGCUCAACCUCGGGUCUGCAGUGGGUACGGGCAGACUAGAGUGCGGUAGGGGAGAUUGGAAUUCCUGGUGUAGCGGUGGAAUGCGCAGAUAUCAGGAGGAACACCGAUGGCGAAGGCAGAUCUCUGGGCCGUAACUGACGCUGAGGAGCGAAAGGGUGGGGAGCAAACAGGCUUAGAUACCCUGGUAGUCCACCCCG
rnacentral:rRNA from 1 species